rnacentral:lncRNA from 1 species
AAAACUUCAUUAAAACAUAAAGGAAAGCAAAGAUCUACACUUACCUCUUGGAGCUCGAGGGUUGGUGUGAUCCCUAACUUGGAGAUGGGAGGAAACUACUCCUUAGGUCUCCAAGCUCCCAAAACUUAGAUCUAAGCUUGAAAACUCUUCAAAACAACCAAGAAACUCAUAAAGACAUGAAGGAGAUGAAGAAAAACAUGAAAA